rnacentral:rRNA from 1 species
AGAGUUUGAUCCUGGCUCAGAUUGAACGCUGGCGGCAUGCCUUACACAUGCAAGUCGAACGGCAGCACGGGGGCAACCCUGGUGGCGAGUGGCGAACGGGUGAGUAAUACAUCGGAACGUGUCCUGUAGUGGGGGAUAGCCCGGCGAAAGCCGGAUUAAUACCGCAUACGAUCUACGGAAGAAAGCGGGGGAUCGCAAGACCUCGCGCUAUAGGGGCGGCCGAUGGCAGAUUAGCUAGUUGGUGGGGUAAAGGCCUACCAAGGCGACGAUCUGUAGCUGGUCUGAGAGGACGACCAGCCACACUGGGACUGAGACACGGCCCAGACUCCUACGGGAGGCAGCAGUGGGGAAUUUUGGACAAUGGGGGAAACCCUGAUCCAGCAAUGCCGCGUGUGUGAAGAAGGCCUUCGGGUUGUAAAGCACUUUUGUCCGGAAAGAAU